GGCGUGAACACAGCUGAGUUCAAUCAUGUCCAAUCAGAGUGGCUCUUCUCAUUCCCUAUAAGACCUCUCUAAUGCUGCGAACAUUGGCACUUAUUCCAUAGUUCUGUACUUUAAAAACGAGGUCUGCAGAAAAUAUUCCACCCAAAAUAGAUUUAGUAGUAAUUAUAAGUUCGUUUUCUGAUGACAUAUUUUAAUUUCAGCCAGAUUUUGGGCCGCCCAUAUUUCGGUCGAAGCCUGUGUGAGUCUGGUGACGUCAGCAACACAAGACGAACACAUUCCCUUAUACUAUUACCUGUUCUUGGUUCCUUCACAAGCAAGCCUGCAACGUCAUUGUGGCUUAUAUUGAAAGAGUGGAUUUUUGUUUUUGACAAUAAUAACUGAAAAUAGUGAGUGAAUUUGAGUAGGCUUGUUUAGUUCAAAUCCAUCGCUGUAAUGCUUCGUUGCAGCAGGAAGACAGCCGCAUGGCACAUAUGAGGCAGGCCGGACACACAAAAUGGUUCGUUCCGGGUGUGGACGCGGUUCCCUCCAGGACCGAGUGGCCUUUCUCGGGCCCAUUCAGCCUCAACAAUGCUCGCCGCUCAAACACUAUCUGCAGGCCGACCAAGGACGACACAGCGGACUUUCUUCAGCAGACAUUGUUUUGACAGCCUUAGGCCACCGGAGAUUGUGAGGGUGACAAGUGACAAAAUGGCGACCAUCCAUCAUCAUCAUCAUCAUCAUCAUCAUGAAGAUGACGUUUUUUAAAAAGUCAUCUUUCCUUCCAUACAGGAGGCCUGUGGGGCUGCUGUUGCCAUGGCAACGCGGUAACGGCCAGGUGCAGCUGCAGACUGAUGAUGUAAGAUGGAGGCAGCAUACAGAGAACUUUACCAGGAGUUUGUUCGCCUGAGAUCUCAAGGAGGAUCGCCUGUUCCUUGGCUUUGACCUCCCGAGUCUUCCAGGCAGAUUGCUGAUGUCCGACGUGACGCUGCAAUCUCACGUGUGCGACUUUUGCCCAGCCGUUUUUCCUGGACACACAACCACCAGCGGCGGGGAGUUCCUGCAACAUCUCCACAACCACGUCACCUAGUUACCAUCGCCACGGGCACGGCACGAAAGACUUAAUUUAACAGACGGUACCGUUGGGUCCCUUAAAAAGUGGGAUGCAUAUAUACAAACUGUUAUAAUUUGUACACCUUUUUACUUGAUUUGGAUGUAAAAUACCCUAAAAUUAAAGCUGAAAGUCUGCAGUUAACUUCAUUUAUUUUCAAAUAAAUCAUAGUGGUAAUGUCGUGUAGCUAACUGAAGCUCUCGUAAACCGGAACGAUGACUUGCCAAGUCACGUGUCGUUUAAGUCAAAGUCAAGCCGAGUCUACGGAUGUGCGGUGUAUACGGAAAUAUGUGAAAUCGUCCAAUUGUUAUGCCCUUUGUUUUUGAAAGAUUGUGUUGUGCAUUUUGUGCUGUGUUUGCUGUGUAUGAGGCGACUUGCAGAGUUAAUUCGACCAUUUAUAGUCACGACACUGCGAGUAAAGAGCGAAUACCAGAAUGUCCAGCUCGGAUUUUAUUAUUAAAAACACAAUUUCAAACAUGUACAUUUCUAAUCACAGCUAAUCUUAAAUAACAUCCCCUCAGUCUAAGGACACACAAACAAGACACAAAAGUACUGUAUGUACACUAUAUCACGCACGAAUGUUCUCAGAACCACUUACUCUUCCGUCCAUCUUUCACUUGAUGCUGACUACCGAAGUUUUUCCGUCCCACUAAGAGCACAACCGUGUCUAAUUGCAUCGAAAAUGCUUAUUUGCUCGAAAUAUUCUAAUUGUAUGUCCAUCCAUCUCAGCCAGCAACAUAUAGUGAAAGACAGAAUAGUUCCUGAAAUGUUC